UUGCGCGAUGACAUUAAAGAAAACAAGAAGCUGAUAUGGCUAUGCAUGGAGAUUUUAUUUUUAGCCAUCAUCAAUUCACAUAUAUUGCUGACGUGUCGUUAAGCUGCUGACCACGGUUUUAUAACACAAAGGACAUAAUAUCGACCACACACUGAUGGACAAUGUCCAACAUCUCGUGUACAUUACGGAAAUGUGUAACAGUAAGAUUUGCGUCAAUAAAUAUAUCCACAACAAUGUGGAAAUGAUGGUAAUUCCGGGGUGUGACUCGGUAUAUGAAAACAAAGCAAACAAAGAAUGAUCGCAGAAUGUACAUGCAAUUCAUUAGUAAUCAUGUAGUCUGCUUUUAUAACACCAUAUAUAGUAUUUCAACACGGCAAUAAUUGUUGACACCAAUUAGCUCCCUGGUUUUAAUUGGUAUCCAAUCUGUUUAACAGAUAGUUUUGUACCGUGCUAUAUUAUCUUUAUACAAACCUCGUUAUCUCGAAGCCAGUGCUGGCAU